GAGAGCCGGAUGCGGUGAAAGUCGCACGUCCGGUUCGGAGGGGGGCGGUUGGAAAAGUGCCCGCGAGGGUAACUCGCUGGCCGCCUACCCUAC
rnacentral:ncRNA from 1 species